rnacentral:rRNA from 1 species
UGCAAGUCGAGCGGACCGACGGGAGCUUGCUCCCUUAGGUCAGCGGCGGACGGGUGAGUAACACGUGGGUAACCUGCCUGUAAGACUGGGAUAACUCCGGGAAACCGGGGCUAAUACCGGAUGCUUGAUUGAACCGCAUGGUUCAAUCAUAAAAGGUGGCUUUUAACUACCACUUACAGAUGGACCCGCGGCGCAUUAACUAGUUGGUGAGGUAACGGCUCACCAAGGCGACGAAGCGUAACCCAACUGAGAGGGUGAUCGGCCACACUGGGACUGAAACACGGCCCAAACUCCUACGGGAGGCAGCAGUAGGGAAUCUUCCGCAAUGGAAGAAAGUCUGAAGGAACAACGCCGCGUGAGUGAAGAAGGUUUUCGGAUCGUAAAACUCUGUUGGUAGGGAAGAACAAGUACCGUUCGAAUAGGGCGGUACCUUGACGGUACCUAACCAGAAAGCCACGGCUAACUACGUGCCAGCAGCCGCGGUAAUACGUAGGUGGCAAGCGUUGUCCGGAAUUAUUGGGCGUAAAGCGCGCGCAGGCGGUUUCUUAAGUCUGAUGUGAAAGCCCCCGGCUCAACCGGGGAGGGUCAUUGGAAACUGGGGAACUUGAGUGCAGAAGAAGAAAGUGGAAUUCCACGUGUAGCGGUGAAAUGCGUAAAGAUGUGGAAGAACACCAGUGGCGAAGGCGACUCUCUGGUCUGUAACUGACGCUGAAGCGCGAAAGCGUGGGGAGCGAACAGGAUUAGAUACCCUGGUAGUCCACGCCGUUAACGAUGAGUGCU